rnacentral:lncRNA from 1 species
UUCUGUUACAAGACAGUUUCAGAGAACAGAUGAUCUUUUACAGGGUGAAGCAGCACGUUGUGGAACAGCAUUGCAGGAACAGAACAAUGUACAGUAUUGUCUUGUUUAAUUCUUAUUGCUUGAUGAGGUACUGUAUUGUUGUCGUUUAUUCAUUAUACUAGCUACUAUAUAAAACACUGGCAAAUCAUACAACAUGUAAUAGUAUAAUAUAACAUACAUAAUAACAUGUAAUAGUAUACCCGUUUUCAGACAGAUAAAUAAACAAAGAACAAGUACAUACACACUAAGGCAGUAAUCUGUCUCUCUCUCUCCUCUCCUCUCUCUCUCUCUGUCUCUCUCUCUCUCUCUCCUCUCCUCUCCCUCUCUCUCUGUCUCUCUCUCUCUCUCCUCUCCCUCUCUCUGUCUCUCUCUCUCUCUCUUCUCCCUCUCUCUCUGUCUCUCUCUCUCCUCUCCCUCUCUCUGUCUCUCUCUCUCUCUCCUCUCUCUGUCUCUCUCUCUCUCUCUCCUCUCCCUCUCUCUCUGUCUCUCUCUCUCCUCUCCCUCUCUCUGUCUCUCUCUCUCUGUCUCUCUCUCUCCUUCUCCCUCCUCUUCUCUCUCCUCUUCUCUCUCUCUCCUCCCCCCAUCUCUCUCUAUCUCUCUCUCCUUCAUAUCAUUAGAGUACAGAACAUGAUGUCACAUUAAAAGCCUAACAGACACAUCUCUCAAGAGUACAGUACUUCCUUUUAACAGUGUUUCAACAGAUAAUAACCACUUGAACACUUGGAAACUAUUUGAACUUAGUCAUGUAUCAUGACUCACUACUUAAUGACCAUGUAAGAACAAUGAGUUACCACAGAUCUACAUGGUUAUUUGAUGAGAAAAGGCACUGUGUAAUUGUUAUAACAGCUGUUGGAUCAUCUUCCUGCUGGUGAUGCCGACAUACAUUUAUACUAUACUUCAAAUAGAAACGCCCCUAUAGCUGUGUACCCCUAUGCAACUAAACAACCAUUCAUAUAUAAUCCCACAUAUAAUCCCAUAUGAUAUCAGGGUUAUUCCCCAAAGAAUGUAAGAGAGGCGCUUUGCUCAGCAGCACCACCUUGUUAAAUAAAAUCCUGUUGAGAACCCUGGUAUCUAAUAUUGUUUUGUUGUCGUGGAUUAUAAUGAUAUUUUUCUUUGUUCCCUACAUGCUAGUCUUGUCACCCUUCUCCCUAAGGCUUUUCGUAAACAACACUUCAGCUCUUCUUUGCUUCUUGACUUUUGUCAUUAGAACCUUUUACCUGGUCUCUGUUCUCUUUCCCUGUUUCUUCCUCUUCACUGGAAUCGGAUUCCGAUUCUCCCUCCCCAUUUCUCUCCUCUUCGUCACCCCCCUCUCCUUUCUCCUUUGCAGACUUGUCUGUUUUGGCAUCGUUUUUUGAAGUAGCUGCAUCAUCCUUCUCCUCCUUUUUACCUCCAUCCUUCUCUCCCUUCACCGCUCUAUCUUCUCCUGUCUCUGAAGCAUCACCCUCCAUCAUUUUUUUCACUUCCUCCCUCCUCUGUCUCAGAAUCUGUCUCAGUUCCAGGUUCCUUGUCUACUUCCUCCCUCCUCUGUCUCAGAGUCUGUCUCAGUUCCAGGUUCCUUGUCUACUUCCUCCCUCCUCUGUCUCAGAGUCUGUCUCAGUUCCAGGUUCCUUGUCUACUUCCUCCCUCCUCUGUCUCAGAAUCUGUCUCAGUUCCAGGUUCCUUGUCUACUUCCUCCCUCCUCUGUCUCAGAAUCUGUCUCAGUUCCAGGUUCCUUGUCUACUUCCUCCUCAUCUUUCUUUUCCACAUGGUAUGAUUCAUCUCAUCCUCCUCUAUCCACUUUCUCUUUCUCCUCUUUUCCAUCUGUUGAACCUCCUCAGCUUUAGCCGGUGCCUCCUCCUCCUUCUCUCUCUCUCCUUCCCCUCUCCAUCCUUCAUUUCUCCAGGACCAGGUUCUCCAGACUUCCCUGUAGCUUGGUCUCCAGGCUCUUCUCCCCAACCACACUAUCUGAGUCCUCCUCUGUGGUCUUAGUAGACUCUUCCUUGUUAUCAU